UUCUGCGUAGUUUAGUGGCUAUGACGGGGCCUUGUCAUUGAGACAGCCACGGCCCAGACCCGGGUUCAAUUCCCGGCGCGGAAG
rfam:Malassezia sympodialis ATCC 42132 genomic scaffold, msy_sf_13